rnacentral:lncRNA from 1 species
UAUGACCUUUUUCAAUUUUAGAAUUGUUUGUAGAAGUUCUACAUGUAUAGGCAGCAUUCUCAGAAACUACUGGACUCCAGUACUUUCAAAUUCCUCACUAGUCUUAAAUAUUAUGUAAAUAUCAUACAUAAUGUUCAAUAACCUGAAUAGGAUUGACAAUAAUGAACUUAAUAGAAAAAAUAGUGCAACAACACACAAUGAAUUAUGUCACGCACCCGAUAUGAAAUUCAGGUGUCAGUGUAUGUAAAAAUAUUGACGUCUCCGGUACCAGGGUAUCUUAACGUGGAAUAGAAACGAGUAUGUAAUAAGAAUGUUUUUAAGGUUUGUUUACUUUUUUCAAAGAAAUUUUGAACGCCAACUGGUCUGGGCGUGUGAUAGAAAAGUCUGAAGAACAGAGAAGUUGACCAAUCGCUGUACCAUCCAGAUAUUGUACAUGUGACCUUCGGCUGCGUGUCGCUACCUGAGACAAGCCACUGCCGGUACAGGUCAAAGGAAUCGCCAUAUGAGAUACAACAACUGAAUCCGAUCCGCAACUACCGGUCAAAUGUAGUCUAUCAGUCAUGGAGUUCAAUCGACAUCUAUAUGAACUUUCUCCAGAAAUGAUGUAACAUGGAAAAAGAAUCACAUUAAAUCACCUAAAUUGCUACACAGAACAGCGAUAUGGUGCUAUGACCCGGAUACGCUACUGAACCCGUUCAAAACAUGUUUGACACAAUUCACUCACCAUUGUGAAUAAUCAACACGUUAUUCCCGGGGCAGUGUUUAUGCUCAGUUCACCUAGCACGUGAAUUUCAUGACUACAUAUUGUUAUUGUUAGCGCUAGCGUCGGUUUUCAGAGCGGCACGUCGAAAAUGUUUUCCAGGUUGCCAUGGUGACACAGAUGGAAGACCAUACAUACAGAACAUUGACUGACGUGUCUUCAGGUUUAGAGAUUAUAAGGCUGUGUUUUAGUGGCGAAGACCAAGAACAUACAUACAGAUCACGGAGGGAGGUGUUGCCAGACCCGGGGAUUAGCAUAAAUGGGUUACCAUGGAAACGAAUGUCUUCAUCUAGGCAAUGGUAUAAAUAGAUGACCGACGUUUAGAUCUACAACGUUAUACAACAGCGUUUGGAGCAUAUUUAUAAAGUGUGGUUACCAUGGAAACGAAAAUCUUCAUCUAGGCAAUGGUUGAAUGGAUGACCGACGUUUAGAUCUACAACGCUAUACAACAGCGUUUGGAGCAUAUAAGAGCUGCCAUGGAACUUACUGUUACAUCUAGGUGAUGGUAUGAAUCGACGUUCAGAAGUUGUAUAGCAGAAUUUGGAGCAUAUAAGGGUCACCAUUGAAACUUACUUCUACAUCUAGGCAGUGGUUAAAUGGAUAACCGGCGUUCAGAUUUUGGAGCAUAUAUGGUGUGUAUGUUUACUUUUUUUCUUAUAGGAGCACUUUGAUAUAUUUGUGUCUGUUUUACACAUGCCUUUCUUUAUCUAUACACGCAAUAGGGUUACCAUGGAAAUGUACCUCUACAUCUAGGCAAUGAUGUAAUGCGUUACUGACGUUCAGAUGCACAAAAUUAUACAGCAGAUUGUUUGAGCGUUUAUGAUGUGUAUGUUUAACUUUGAUAUAUUUGUUUCUGUUUUUGAUAUGCCUGUUUGUAUAUACACUCAACAGGGUUACCAUGGAAACUUACCUCUACAUAUGGGCAAUGGUAUAAAUGGAUGAAAGACGACAACGUUUAGAGAAAUCCUGCAACCGAUCCCGAUCACGUGAUAGACACUUAGCUUUAAAUAGUCUAAGCCUUGCUAAGACCUGUAAACGAAAUCAGGCAUAUUAUGAAUUAAAACAAACAUCUGGAUAGUAGGUGCGCUUAUUGAGAUCCAAAUCUACCAUUCGUAGUACUCUACCAUUCGUAGUACUGUGUGUUCUGUUUUGCUGUGUUGUCAGAGAUUUGUUUACAGUGGCUUCAUGGUGGUGUUUGUUGUGGUGUUUGUGUGUUUAUUGUGGUGUUUAUGUGUUUGUUGUGGUGUUUCUGGUGUGAUUUAGUUUUUGUGGUGGUGUUUGUGGUGUUUUCAAUGUGGUCGUCUCGGUUGUAUACGAUAUGGUUCGUGUUUGUCAAAAAGGGUUCUUGUUGGUGCAUUUGGUUUUUCGUCUUUCGGUUUUUCUUUUUGUCAUUAGCAAUAUUAUCACCAGAUUUACUACUGUGCACAUUUAUUAGAAUAAGUUAAGUAUUGUUGUGUGUUUUAAUAAUUUUACUUAUCCCAUGAAUUUCAGAUAGCUACAAAGACGUACCAUAAAAUAUGCA